CAGAGGUCCCAAGCGUUGUUCGGAUUCACUGGGCGUAAAGGGUGCGCAGAUGGGUCUGCAAAUUCGAUGUGAAAGCCCCAAGCUUAACCCGGGAAUGGCAUUGGAUACUGCAGAUCUGGAGGAUCGGAGGGGGGACUGGAAUUCUUGGUAUAGCAGUGAAAUGCGUAGAUAUCAAGAGGAACACCAGUGGCGAAGGCGAGUCCCUGGACGAUACCUGACACUGAGGCACGAAAGCUAGGGGAGCAAACAGGAUUAGAUACCCUGGUAGUCCUAGCUGUAAACGGUGCGCAUUUGCUGUAAACGGAAUCGACCCCGUUUGUGGCGAAGCUAACGCGAUAAAUACGCCGCCUGGGAAGUACGGUCGCAAGAUUA
rnacentral:rRNA from 1 species